CGGCUUUACAUUCGAUUGUUAUGCAGAAGGUGGUCGAUGAUGCGGAUCGAGUUAGUUCUGCAGUUCAAGAGCUCGAGUUGGUAAAAGCCGAAGUCGGAAGACUGCUCAAGACAAUCAGGCGAGACGACGACAGGCUCAGAAACUACCAAGUCCACCUUAAGCAUACUUAUGGCGCUGCCGAUUGGACCCUUCGUCGGUUGGACGCGGCUGUCGCGCUCACUUUCUAGA
rnacentral:misc_RNA from 1 species